rnacentral:piRNA from 1 species
UGCCUUAGAGGGCAAAGGUGAGCCUGGCUGC